GAUUGCCAAUGGUUGAUAUGACUUCCAGAAAGCAGCAAGGGAAUGCUCUAGCCUCCUACAGCCUCAACUCCAGAUGAUAAGUAUUUUUAAAUUGAAUAUUAGUAUACUUUUGCUUUAGUCGUUCCGCUUUACAGAUUUAUCUCCUUAAAACAGAGAGAGCGGCCGCUGACCCACACAGUUCCCAUGGGUCGAGCUGGAGGGACGCCAAGAGCCGGCUCGUCCGACCCCUCGCGUACAGAUGGGGAAACUGAGGCCGGGGAGAGACAAGGCCCCGGGAUUCGUCAGAGGAAGCGCGACCCGGGGUCCCCGUCACCGCAUCAGAGGCGCACGGGGCUGACCCACACGGCUCAGGCCGUCCUUGCCGUGAAGGGGACGCUGAGGGGUCCGGUCCGCGGCGCCCCACACUCACCCGGCUUACGCUUCAGCGCCAUCAGGGACACUAGAUAGUGGGCGAUGUCAAAAAAGGGGAACAUGGACGUGCGGGAGAAGGCCAGAGCCAGCUCAUCCCACGGAAAAUCCAUGGCGACUACCGACCGCGGCGGCCGAGACAGCCGCGGUGACCGAGACAGCCGCGGUGACCGGUUCCCCGCGUGCGCGCCAUUUCACCAGCACAUCUAUCCUUCUCAAUUUCCGUAAAUGGACCUUCUUUCCUCCUGGAGCCUACAGCCUGCAGCCUCUCAGAGAGGGAGAUACUGCAAGGUUGUUUUCAGAAACUCUGAAGCCUGGGGAAGAAAUUUAGUCUGAGGAGGCAGAUAGAAAAAUGGUUUCUAUCUGCUAGAAGCCAAGAGGCCUGACUUUCCUGGAGGGCCAUCUGCAACACCGCUGCCUGGAAAGAGACACAGCUGUUAACCAUUUAACUGAACUGGCCUAUUUGCAGGACUGAGAGACUGGUUCAAUGGCUGAUGAGUCAAUCCACCCAUCCAGGUUCUGGACUGUGCAACUUCUUGGGGAAGUUUCAGACUGGGAAUGUGGGGGCUUAGAUAACAAUAACCCAAAAUACAGGUCUCAGAAGCAAAGUUUCUCUCAGACAUCUCCUGCCCUCCUGUCUUUCAGCCUCAUUCUCCGCAGAAGCAUGCCAUGGAAACUAGAAUCCCUCUUCCCCAAGGCAGGUCAUAGAAACCAGAACCCCUUUUCUCCAAAGCCAGCCAUAAGCCUAAAAAUAUUACUCAAAACCUUCCACUGCCUUUCUGUGUAACAGUCUGCCAUAAAGAAAUUAAGACCGUCGUUCCAGAGGGGCCCUGCCCCAUUUCCAGGAGGAAGGAAUGCUGCACAGAGAAGCCAAGAAGAAUCUGAACGAACAGGCCCUGCUGGGUUUCCCCACCUAGCCUAUUAGCAUUAGAUCAUACCCUUUCUGUCCGAUCGCAUUUCUACAGGGCUGUCCAUUCUUCACUGAACCUAAGCAUAAAAAUGGAUAGUUUUCCCUGUAUCUUUGGGUCUUCAUUCUGAAGGCUCCCA